UACAGAGGGUGCGAGCGUUAAUCGGAACUACUGGGCGUAAAGGGCGCGUAGGCGGUUAAUUAAGUUAGAUGUGAAAUCCCUGGGCUUAACCUAGGAACUGCAUUUAAUACUGGUUGACUGGAGUGCUGUAGAGGGUAGUGGAAUUUCCGGUGUAGCGGUGAAAUGCGUAGAUAUCGGAAGGAACACCAGUGGCGAAGGCGGCUACCUGGACAGACACUGACGCUGAGGCGCGAGAGCGUGGGGAGCAAACAGG
rnacentral:rRNA from 1 species